AAAUCGUUGACGGUAGGCCUAGACUUGCAUAUCGGAGCGGCAGCGGAGGUAGCUUGCUCCUUUGCCGGCGAGCGGCGGACGGGUGAGUAAUGUCUGGGAAACUGCCUGAUGGAGGGGGAUAACUACUGGAAACGGUAGCUAAUACCGCAUAACGUCGCAAGACCAAAGAGGGGGACCUUCGGGCCUCUUGCCAUCAGAUGUGCCCAGAUGGGAUUAGCUAGUAGGUGGGGUAACGGCUCACCUAGGCGACGAUCCCUAGCUGGUCUGAGAGGAUGACCAGCCACACUGGAACUGACACACGGUCCACACUCCUACGGGAGGCAGCAGUGGGGAAUAUUGCACAAUGGGCGCAAGCCUGAUGCACCCAUGCCGCGUGUAUGAAGAAGGCCUUCGGGUUGUAAAGUACUUUCAGCGGGGAAGAGGGUGUUGAGGUUAAUAACCUCAGCUAUUGACUUUACCCGCAGAAGAAGCACCGGCUAACUCCGUGCCAGCAGCCGCGGUAAUACGGAGGGUGCACGCGUUAAUCGGAAUUACUGGGCGUAAAGCGCACGCAGGCGGUCUGUCAAGUCAGAUGUGAAAUCCCCGGGCUCAACCUGGGCACUGCAUUCGAAACUGGCAGGCUAGAGUCUUGUAGAGGGGGGAUAGUAUUCCGGGUGUAGCGGUGAUAUGCGUAGAGAUCUGGAGG
rnacentral:rRNA from 1 species